GAUGAACGCUGGCUACAGGCUUAACACAUGCAAGUCGAGGGGAAACGACAGGGAAGCUUGCUUCCUUGGGCGUCGACCGGCGCACGGGUGAGUAACGCGUAUCCAACCUGCCUCUGACUGAGGGAUAACCCGUCGAAAGUCGGCCUAAUACCUCAUGGCAUCGUCUGCGGGCAUCCAACGACGAUUAAAGAUUUCAUCGGUCAGGGAUGGGGAUGCGUCUGAUUAGCUUGUUGGCGGGGUAACGGCCCACCAAGGCUACGAUCAGUAGGGGUUCUGAGAGGAAGGUCCCCCACAUUGGAACUGAGACACGGUCCAAACUCCUACGGGAGGCAGCAGUGAGGAAUAUUGGUCAAUGGGCGAGAGCCUGAACCAGCCAAGUAGCGUGCAGGAUGACGGCCCUAUGGGUUGUAAACUGCUUUUAUGCGGGGAUAAAGUGAGGGACGUGUCCUUCAU
rnacentral:rRNA from 1 species